rnacentral:miRNA from 1 species
GUGGAAAGUGUGGCCAGCCCUGUUUGUGAUUCGGGGUAGUCUGCUGCUGGCCCUGCCCUUUCUCCAGAGCUCCAGAUGGCUCUCAGGACAGUUGGUAGCACUUCCCUACUGGCUGCACUAGGAGACCAG